rnacentral:rRNA from 1 species
UACGUAGGUGGCAAGCGUUGUCCGGAAUUACUGGGUGUAAAGCGCGUGUAGGCGGGAGGCCAAGUCUGCUGUGAAAUCGCCCGGCUCAACUGGGCGGGGUCGGUGGAAACUGGUCACCUGGAGGACGGUAGAGGCGAGUGGAAUUCCCGGUGUAGUGGUGAAAUGCGUAGAGAUCGGGAGGAACACCAGUGGCGAAGGCGACUUCCUGGCCUGUUCUUGACGCUGAGGCGCGAAAGCUAGGGGAGCAAACGGGG